ensembl:lncRNA
GCCCCUACCCAGCGGGGCGUGUCGCGAGCCGCCCCCUCACCCCCGUCGGGGUCACCAAAACUCCCGGAGGCCUUUCCCCGGGGCGGCCGGGGGCCUGUUACCAGCAGUCGCCGCCCUGCCUUGACUGCCUGGGUGAAUCAGGUGCUAACCCCGGAGCCUGGUCUUGCGGCUCCCCUGCCUGGGUUUUCUGAGUGCGACCGAUUUAGGCAGGGUGGGGGGAUUCCUGCGGCCCUGCCCCACCCACGAAGACCGAGAAGGCUCGCCGGUGGAGAAAGGUGGGCUCGGUGACUCAUCUCUGGGAUGACCUAACCUCCCCAACCUGGCAGAGCAGCUGUCCGGACUCAGCCCUCAUACCGUGACUGUGGACGUCUAGUGUGCCCCCUUCUGAUUAUAAACUGGCUCUGGAAGCAAGUCAUCAAGCGGAGCCCACACACAGCAGGAAGCUGGGGCAGGAGGCAAGAUAAAGCUGUACCUCCUGGAGGGCCAAGUGUCUGCAUAACUGUCAUUCUUCUGUUGUUGAAGGCCUGGGGUUACUAGAUGCUGUAGGUUAUGAAGAAUAGCUAGAAAUCUGGACUAUAUAUGAAAUCUUUCAACUUCUACAUGUUGGAAACGAUCCUAAAAGUUAAAACCAUAUGCAGAAAGAAGGAAAUCUCCAACAGGAGCAAUUUGCAACUCGUGCCGCAUUUAAGAAGGGCCUGUAUCCUCCAGAGGACACAGGCUCCGAGUUAAUCCAGGUGUUGAAGCUGCAUGGAGAUUGAUUCUAAUAACAGCGUAUGAAGGAACUUUCUGACAAUUACAUCUGGACAACAAUGGAAUAAUUGUUCCUUCUCAGAAGUGCAUGGGCUUACUGAGGACUUGCAGCCAGCGUGUAGGUGAGCAUCUCUCAGCUAUGUUACAGGCACGAUUGGACUUCACGGGGCCUCAGGCUCCUCCCAUUCUGAGUCUCUAAGUGUACAUACUGAAAACAAGCUGCGAUCUGAUGAAAGUGUCUCUUCUUUGAAUUACACAAUAAAUAAAUCGUUGUUUACGAAGAGCCACUGUGGGCAAAGGUGUAGGCAGUCUGAGCAUGUGGGCUCCAAGAAAAAAUUAUCACUGGGCACAGCUCAGUAAAGUGACUUAGUUAAAGAGUAAGCUUGAAACCUCUUCCCUCCAACUUGUCUUUAUUUGGAAGAAAAAAAAAGGCCCAAAUCUUCUACUAUUUGUUUUUGGCUAUCUGGUUAAAACAAAGCUGAGAUGUGGGUUCAAGUUUUAUUAUCCAUCACUAAAAAGGAAUCGGCUUGUGUUUAUAAUAUACUUCCUACAAUAUAGUAAGCUUUAAAAUGAAAGUGUUUGGAGUUCCCUUGUGGUGCAGCAGGUUAAGGAUCUGGCAUUGUCACUGCAGCAGUUUGGGUUGCUGCUCUGGCACAGGUUCAGUCCCUGGCCCGGGAGCUCCCCCAUGCCACAGGUGUGGCAUAAAAAAAAAUGAAAGUGCUUGUUGCACAGCCUGAAUGGUCAGUAAAUCAAUUGUGUGUGUAUCUAUGAUGUUGUCUGUGACUUGUCACUCAUGCCGUCUCACAAUAAUCAUUUCUUGAAGAACUGUCUCAAUGAGUAUCUGAAAAUGUUAAUGAAUGUGCUAGUUUAUCUGAAAGCAUGUAAAAGGCAAAUACCUACAAGCAAAAUUAUCCCCCAGAUUGAUAACUUGUUCACUGCUGGCUCCUUCCACUAGAAUAUAAACAGGUGUUUUGCUGUUUGUUUUCCUUUGUUUAGUGUAGCAUACCUAGCACCUGGAAUAGCACAUAGUAAGUGCUCAGUAAAUUGCCGGAAGAAUUCUAACGCUUAUUUGAAUGAAGCUUCUUAACUACCAAUUUUGAUGCAAUGGGCAAGCAACAAGGAAAAUCCCUCAAAUCCAAGAAGCACCAGGUUAUGCGACAGGAAAGGGGAAGAAAAGAGGAAGAGAGGGACAGUCACCAGUCCCAUACAUAGAGAGAUGUUGAGUCUCCAGUCCCAUAAUGUUUGCUGGUGCCCAGGCCUGAGGCAGGAUCUGGGCUCAUAACCUCUUUUGAUGAGGUCAUAGUGCUGGUGGCAGAGUAUUUGUUGGAGAGGUGAGUUUUAAAUGCAUGCACAGUCUUUUCAAAUAACUGUUUGCAACUUUUGCUGGGCUCUCACAUUUUGCACACUGUCAGGAAGGGUCCCUCGGACAAAGCCUAGUUCUGUUUUGGCCUGCGGUAACACUUCCAUGACCUGCAGGGGCCAUCAAGCCACGUACGUCUCCCUGUCUCCACCUGCUCCUGCCUCGACCCAACUCGCAGAAGUAUCGGAAAGAGCUUCUUCCCUGUCCUCUUUUUCCCCUUCUCUAACUCCUGGUGAGGAUAACUGCUUAUGCUUCCCGUUAUGAAUGAGGUUCAGCAUAUAAAGGCCUCUGCUCCUCCACCUCCCCUUGGUGUGCUCUCUCUCUUUCUCUCUCUCAACAUUUUUUAAAAUGGCCUGGCCACAGGAUGCACCUGUCCCCUCCCCUCCUGAAGUAAACCCAAGGAGCCAGGUGCUGCCCUUGCUGGGGGAGGCCUACAGCUGUUCUGCCUGUGAGUGGGUGGUAACUUGAAGACCAUUUGGGCCUUGGGUGCAAGCCAAGACUCUUAAUCUAAUUUUACCAGGAGCAAAACCAACGUUUUGCUCCACAUUUAGCUUCUGUGUCUGCCCGUCAUCUAAUUCGCAAAGCCGUCUCAUGAGAGGAGUAUGAUAAAGUAGCAUUCUCCAACUUCAAAAACAAUAAUGGAUUUCAUUUUCCUCAAAAAUGAAAGGUAUUUAAAAGUUAGCAAAUAAAAUCAGCCAACGCUUUUACAUAAUAAUUCUACAAAGUUUUAGCAAGUCUUAAAUCAAGCAUGCCAGCUUUAGUUUCAGAGAAGCGGGGAGCUUUCAAUCUGUUCUUUCCUGUAAGGCAAGUGUCGAGAUCUUUGUGGGAGCCUAGUGAUGGAUACAUUUCAUUCCCACCUAAGGCUCGAACCAGUUAAGAAAUAAGAUGGAUGAGGUGCUGUAUAAAUAAAGGGAUCGUUCACAUUUGCAGGCAAGUGUGAGCUUCCCAAACGAGUCACAGGCAAUGUCAGAGCCCUCCGUUCAUGGUAGCGCUGUCUCUGCAGGGCUUGCAGCAUGGAGGACCACCGGCCAACCCGGGCUUCCCAUGAGCAUCUUGUUCUGAGGAAGGAGGCUCAAGGGGCACAGCUGCCCAUUGGUUCCUCCUUCUGAAUUCCAGCAAAUGAGGAGGAGGAGUCGAAUCAGGAGUGGGUAACAGUCAUUCCCCCUUCAGCAUAAAAGCGGAGGUAGGAGCAGUAUAGACCGCUUAACAGGCAUCUUCAGGCGACUUGCCCAAGCUAAGGUGAGUACCUGGCUGGUUCAGAGCCAGGGGCAGAGCUGGGCACAGCUGAAGCUGAUGGGAAUGUGAAAAGAAGCUGUCUGUACUGCUCACCAACUGGCUCACGAGUUUGCUCUGCCUUCAUUAAUGAAGUAAAAAUUACAUACAGUAAAGUGUAAGAUAUUGCUGACUUUCUCUAUGUAGACAUUCACAUAACCUCCGCAGAUUUGAAAUAUGGAACAUUUUCUAGUCUGCUUUCAAAAAACCUGCCCCACACUUUCUGCUGACCUGAGGAAUAUCCUAGAAAUUGUAUUUCCAUAAAAUUUACUCUCCAUGCUUACUUUAACAAAUGUAAUCUUUAAAUUGUACCCUCUUUAUCAAUGUGAGCAAUCGUUUUAAUUUUUAAGCAUUGAAAAAUUAAUUUUUAAGUUUAAAAAAAUUCAACUUAUCAAGAGGUAGUAUUCUUUCAAAGAAAUGAUUGUCUGUCCUAGGCACUGGCUUCCUUCCUCUUAGAGAGAAAUUAGAAGUUUUCUUUCCCCUUUGGUGACAGCAUCAGAUUUAGAAUUACCUCACCAGUGGAAGGUUUCUCAUCAUUAGUCAACCAGUGACAGUCAGAGCAAAAGAAAUACAUUUUCAAAAGGAAAGCACUUCUCCAGGAAGUGUUUUGUUUGUUUGUUUAGGACACAUUCAGUGUUUUAGAGGAAAACACGUUGGCUUUGUGAAUGGGUAUAUUGUCUUUCCGUAAUGCAAGUGGAAUUCUCAUGCUGAAACAUUUCUCAUUUCUUUAAAUGGCCACACUGGAGGCAUAUGGAAGUUCCUGUGCCAGGGAUUGACUCCAAGCUCCAGCUGCGAUGUGUGCCAGAUCCUUUAACCCACCGUACCUGGCUGGGGAUCAAACCCACACCUCUGCAGUAAACCAAGCCACUUCAGUCAGAUUCUUAACCCACUGCACCACAGCGGGAACUCUGACGGUAGGUGUUCUUUGCUUCCUUCCUCAGUUUCCUUGGGGCUCUCACCACCUUUUGCUGUGGUUGUUGACGACUGUGAUAGCCUUGGUUUACUUAUAUGGCAGCGGCAAUAUUUUAUUUCUCUCUCUGUGUAUGUAUACACACAUACACAUAUGUAUAUAUAUAUAUACACACAUAUGUAGAGAGAAAGAGAGACUUUUUAAUGUUACGACCAAUAGAAGAUGAGCUACAAAUGGGCUUCCCGUCUCUCUUGGCCAUUCUUUUUCAGCGUCCGUAUUUUUUUUUUAAUAUAAUGAUUUUUAUUUUUUUUCGUUAUAGCUUGUUUACAGUGUUCUGUACAGCAUGGUGACUCAGUUACACAUACAUGUAUACAUUCUUUUUUCUCACAUUAUGCUCCAUCAUAAGUGACCAGAUAUAGUUCCUAAUGCUACACAGCAGGAUCUCACUGCUAAUCCAUUCCACAGGCCCUAAAAAAGACCAAAAAAAAAAAAAA